rnacentral:rRNA from 1 species
UGGGGAAUUUUGGACAAUGGGCGAAAGCCUGAUCCAGCAAUGCCGCGUGUGUGAAGAAGGCCUUCGGGUUGUAAAGCACUUUUGUCCGGAAAGAAAUCCUUGGCUCUAAUACAGUCGGGGGAUGACGGUACCGGAAGAAUAAGCACCGGCUAACUACGUGCCAGCAGCCGCGGUAAUACGUAGGGUGCAAGCGUUAAUCGGAAUUACUGGGCGUAAAGCGUGCGCAGGCGGUUUGCUAAGACCGAUGUGAAAUCCCCGGGCUCAACCUGGGAACUGCAUUGGUGACUGGCAGGCUAGAGUAUGGCAGAGGGGGGUAGAAUUCCACGUGUAGCAGUGAAAUGCGUAGAGAUGUGGAGGAAUACCGAUGGCGAAGGCAGCCCCCUGGGCCAAUACUGACGCUCAUGCACGAAAGCGUGGGGAGCAAACAGGAUUAGAUACCCUGGUAGUCCACGCCCUAAACGAUGUCAACUAGUUGUGGGGAUUCAUUCCUUAGUAACGUAGCUAACGCGUGAAGUUGACCGCCUGGGGAGUACGGUCGCAAGAUUAAAACUCAAAUGAAUUGAC